AAAGUCUUAUUCAAGUUUCCAAACACUCCAAUUUUGUACUUGAGUUUUAAUAAGAUAGAUAUAUCAACAUUGACUACGUGCAAAUAACAGAGAAACUAACAACUAUAGAAAGGAACGUGUAACAGGAAAAUUCGAACGUAAACAAUUCCGGAAUAUAGAGUCAUGUGUACAUCUAAUACUAUAAAGAAGACUAUUCUCUUCUUCUCAGCUUGCCACGUCACUAAAUCGAAUUCUAACAAUGCGACACGUGUUCGUGCUCAUGUUAUACUCUGCGUUUCAUUAAAGCUUGAUGUGGGCUGGUGUUUUCAAUUACGGUUUUGAUACAUAUUGGAUCUCAAUAAUAAUAGGCCCAUUUCAAAAUCAUGAGAGAUGCAAGCCGAUUAGGGUUUCUGCUCUUCUUCUUCAUCGACACCAAAACAGUUCCCAAACAAAAAUGAUGGGAGUUUCGAGGUAUCUCUUUGUUGAUCUUCGAUGGCGUCGUUCUGGUUACUCUCCUAAUUAGAUGAAACGCUCCAAGUUACAGAUCCAUAGCCUUUAUGACCUUCUUAACUCCAAAGACCGAAAUGAGGCACGAUCUGACGUUGAAUGCGAGUUUACUCUCUGUGAGGCGGUGUAAUCUACACAAUAUAAAGUUGGCUCAACACAAGCCACAUGGUGAUGGAAGAUCUUUGCAACAGUCGUUCACUGUGAAGCGGGGAUUUUCGGAAGGCUAUGGCAAAGAUUCUGUGUGAGGAGAUGAGUUGAGAUGAGGAUGAGAGUUCUUACUUUUCUUUGAAGAAUAAAGAAGACUAUUCUCUUCUUCUCAGCUUGCCACGUCACUAAAUCGAAUUCUAACAAUGCGACACGUGUUCGUGCUCAUGUUAUACUCUGCGUUUCAUUAAAGCUUGAUGUGGGCUGGUGUUUUCAAUUACGGUUUUGAUACAUAUUGGAUCUCAAUAAUAAUAGGCCCAUUUCAAAAUCAUGAGAGAUGCAAGCCGAUUAGGGUUUCUGCUCUUCUUCUUCAUCGACACCAAAACAGUUCCCAAACAAAAAUGAUGGGAGUUUCGAGGUAUCUCUUUGUUGAUCUUCGAUGGCGUCGUUCUGGUUACUCUCCUAAUUAGAUGAAACGCUCCAAGUUACAGAUCCAUAGCCUUUAUGACCUUCUUAACUCCAAAGACCGAAAUGAGGCACGAUCUGACGUUGAAUGCGAGUUUACUCUCUGUGAGGCGGUGUAAUCUACACAAUAUAAAGUUGGCUCAACACAAGCCACAUGGUGAUGGAAGAUCUUUGCAACAGUCGUUCACUGUGAAGCGGGGAUUUUCGGAAGGCUAUGGCAAAGAUUCUGUGUGAGGAGAUGAGUUGAGAUGAGGAUGAGAGUUCUUACUUUUCUUUGAAGAAUAAAGAAGACUAUUCUCUUCUUCUCAGCUUGCCACGUCACUAAAUCGAAUUCUAACAAUGCGACACGUGUUCGUGCUCAUGUUAUACUCUGCGUUUCAUUAAAGCUUGAUGUGGGCUGGUGUUUUCAAUUACGGUUUUGAUACAUAUUGGAUCUCAAUAAUAAUAGGCCCAUUUCAAAAUCAUGAGAGAUGCAAGCCGAUUAGGGUUUCUGCUCUUCUUCUUCAUCGACACCAAAACAGUUCCCAAACAAAAAUGAUGGGAGUUUCGAGGUAUCUCUUUGUUGAUCUUCGAUGGCGUCGUUCUGGUUACUCUCCUAAUUAGAUGAAACGCUCCAAGUUACAGAUCCAUAGCCUUUAUGACCUUCUUAACUCCAAAGACCGAAAUGAGGCACGAUCUGACGUUGAAUGCGAGUUUACUCUCUGUGAGGCGGUGUAAUCUACACAAUAUAAAGUUGGCUCAACACAAGCCACAUGGUGAUGGAAGAUCUUUGCAACAGUCGUUCACUGUGAAGCGGGGAUUUUCGGAAGGCUAUGGCAAAGAUUCUGUGUGAGGAGAUGAGUUGAGAUGAGGAUGAGAGUUCUUACUUUUCUUUGAAGAAAUUGAUUGACGGUUCAAGACAAUUACUCCAUUAGCGCCCGCGAACCUGUGGGAAGAGCUUUCGUAGUGUUUGGUUUACUCGCCGGUGGCGUUGCGGAAGUUCAAUUCGUCGGCACCGUUUAAAUGGCAACACCGACUCACUUCAUCUUCAUCUCUUUGGGACGACAUCUGCGCCGUGGUAACAUGCUUUCUUAUUGCUUUCUCUCAACAUACAGAGCUUCCAUAGUUAUUGUUAAAUCUUAAUCAUGUCUGAGGAUACCAUCACCGUCCCUCUCAGCUGCUGGAAUGUACUCAGCUUGGUUGGAUGGAGCGUCUGCUUGGUUGGAAUUCAGAAAGUUCUGCUCCAAAGGAACCUGUCUGAACGUCAAUGAUGCCUUUGGCCAAGAAUUAUAACAUGGUGGCUGAUCCAAGAAAUACCUGAACAUUGCAAUCUUCUUAAGAGCACCGAAUGUAACAUGUGACGAGGUGUCAAAAGCUCUUCUAGAUUGUAAGAUUGGUCUCCCAUUUGGUUUGUUACUUAGGGGUAAAGUUCUAUUUGCUUUGAUCACUUCAACUUGCAAAAUAGUGUUAACGGAACACAUUCUAUGCACUAAUCUUAUUUCCAUCAUUUUCUAUUCA